CUCUCCCAGCCAUCUUCCGGCUGUCGGCAGGGUAUUACACCGUGAAUCGAGUGCUAGCCAAUUGCAGGGCACACAGACAAACAUUUACACCCAGUCACACCUCGGGACAAUUUCGUGUUCAGUUAACCUGACAUGCAUUAUUGGGAAUGAUGGAGGAAACUGUACUCGGAGAAAACACGCAGACACGGGUUCGAAACCGCGACCUCCUCAAUGUGAGCCGAAUGUGCUAACCAGUCGGCUGCCGUGCUUACGAAGGUUCUACAGAGCUUGCUGAUGAGCUGAUCGUACAGACAGGAUAUGGCUGUCGAGGAACCGGAGUGCCCUUCCCCUGCCGUGACGAAUUGCGACAGACUUCACAUGAGCCCACAGUGCCAUCUCUUGUUCAAUGUAUCUCUUGCAAUUUGGAAUAGUCAUACGACUCCUACAGUAUGCUGUACUAUUCGGGUAAAAAAAAAAGAUUAUUUAUUUACUGUUGAUUGGCACCGUCAUUUAGACAUGUCACGGAAGCGGCAAACAUUAAGACGCUGUCAAAGCAAGUGCUGACUUCAAAAUAAAAGCUUUAAAGGUGCAGAGUCAAGGCCCGGGGACCUGAUCUGGCCGGCCAUAUAAUUUUAUGUGGGCCACGAAAGCAAAUCAAGCAUGUCAAGUUCCAUGAUGCUUGCUAAAGUCUGAACCAAAAUUUCAAAUUGUCAUGUGUAAUUCACAGUAACAGUCAUUAUUCUUGACUUCUGAUUUUAAAACUAGUUGCCCAUCAAUUUGUCGUGCGCUGUGUAUGUAAUAGGUGGAGGUCAUUAUACAUUUACCGGUAUAUGGUUUCCCAAAAUUCAUAGUGGCUCUCCAAGGGAAACCGUAACUACAAUGUGGCCCGCGACAAAAGUGAGUUUGACACCACUGCUCUAGUUUUUCAUGAUUUGGACAAAAAGUACACACACACACAAGGCUACUGAACACAUUUACUGUGAGUAGGCAUUUCACAAAGAAACCGUGAAAUGAGUCAAUAACAGGAAAUCAAGGAUCAGCAAAAACAUUAACGAUCGGACCAAAUACAAACUACAGAAGAGUGCCACAAAAGAAGGAAUUCUGGCAUUUUGGGCAAAAGUUGUGCUCUAUGUUUGUAACAAUGUUUGCAUACUGUUGCCAUCUUUGAUACGUGUGCUCAUGUGGUUGCACGUAGCCCAGCAAACAUAUCACAGUGCACCCAGGAUCAUUACGCACAUUAUGGACCAUUAACAUUUAGCAUGGAUAAUAGUGGCCCAAUACCACACAUCGUGUUACCAGAACACAGUAUCAUAAAGAGCAAGACGUAGAGCAAAACGGGCAGGAAACAAGGAAGAUGAUGCUGUUAUGAUUUCUUGUCAUAGCUACGACAAUCUACUAAAUGCUGUGCCAUGUCAAAAGUAUUUCCUGAUUUCUUAGUUGUUUGGCAUUUGUAUUUGACAGGACUCAUGUUACACUAUCAACUAGCCAAUUAUAAUAUCUCACAAAGGCAAUCACUGAGAACACAAAAUGCAAAAUGCACAAAAAUGAUCGGUAUUAUUUUAUUUCUUCAGGGGGGAAAUCCCAACCUGUCUGGCCUUCUGUGUCUUGGUUUAAUUAUUUUCAACACUUGUGAUGAACAUUGAUAAAACUAAACAAAUUAGGACACUGGCAAAUACGUUUUGAUGGCACUUUAGAUGAAACUAAUUUGAAUAAGAUAAGAUAUCCUUUAUUCGUCCCACACAUGAAUUGUCACAUAAAACUUGGCUACCACUGGCAAAACAUUGCAAUACAAGGUUCUUCUACAAAGAAAUACUAGCAUUGGGACAAACAGUCGGUACAUUUGAAUUGUAUAAUACAGCAACGUUUGCCUAAAACUGACAUACAUUUGGAAAUUGAUCUUUUUUUUUUAAAGCGUUAUCAGUGCUACAUCCUGGACAGUCAAAGAGUUGACAUUGGAAUGACUGUACCUACUAAACAACAAAAUAAUUAUUUAAAAAUAUUAAUGUGAAUGUUGAGUGAGAAGUGGAAUUACAAAUUUUGGAGAAAAAAUAAACUUCUCUUCAUCGUCCCACAUGUACGGUAAUUUUUUUGUUGCGCGCUAACCAAAGACAGAUGUCGAAUGAAGAGUAUUUUUAAUUGGAUGCAAAACACAUCAAAGUUAUUAAUGAUAUCAGAACCACAACCAUUUGCAAGCUUGUCAUUCACUGAGGGUCUUCUUAACUUCUAAUUUCUUACAUUAAAAUCAAUGCCAUUUCAAAUAUUUGUCUCGCUUUAAAAUG